UACGUAGGGCGCAAGCGUUUAUCCGGAAUUAUUGGGCGUAAAGAGCUCGUAGGCGGUUUGUCGCGUCUGCCGUGAAAGUCCGGGGCUCAACUCCGGAUCUGCGGUGGGUACGGGCAGACUAGAGUGAUGUAGGGGAGACUGGAAUUCCUGGUGUAGCGGUGAAAUGCGCAGAUAUCAGGAGGAACACCGGUGGCGAAGGCGGAUCUCUGGGCCAUUACUGACGCUGAGGAGCGAAAGCGUGGGGAGCGAACAGG
rnacentral:rRNA from 1 species